UACGUAGGGGGCUAGCGUUGUCCGGAAUCAUUGGGCGUAAAGCGCGUGUAGGCGGUCCGGUAAGUCCGCUGUGAAAGUCGGGGGCUCAACCCUCGAAUGCCGGUGGAUACUGUCGGGCUAGAGUGCGGAAGAGGCGAGUGGAAUUCCUGGUGUAGCGGUGAAAUGCGCAGAUAUCAGGAGGAACACCAAUUGCGAAGGCAGCUCGCUGGGACGUAACUGACGCUGAGGCGCGAAAGCAUGGGGAGCGAACGGG
rnacentral:rRNA from 1 species